AUUGAACGCUGGCGGCAGGCCUAACACAUGCAAGUCGGACGGUAGCACAGAGAGCUUGCUCUCGGGUGACGAGUGGCGGACGGGUGAGUAAUGUCUGGGGAUUUGCCCGAUAGAGGGGGAUAACCACUGGAAACGGUGGCUAAUACCGCAAAACGUCGCAAGACCAAAGAGGGGGACCUUCGGGACUCUUACUACCGGAUGAACCCAGAUGGGAUUAGCUAGUAGGCGGGGUAACGGCACACCUAGGCGACGAUCCCUAGACUGGUCUGAGAGGAUGACCAGCCACACUGGAACUGAGACACGGUUCAGACUCCUACGGGAGGCAGCAGUGGGGAAUAUUGCACAAUGGGCGCAAGCCUGAUGCAGCCAUGCCGCGUGUAUGAAGAAGGCCUUCGGGUUGUAAAGUACUUUCAGCGGGGAGGAAGGCGAUAAGGUUAAUAACCUUGUCGAUUGACGUUACCCGCAGAAGAAGCACCGGCUAACUCCGUGCCAGCAGCCGCUGUAA
rnacentral:rRNA from 1 species